rnacentral:rRNA from 1 species
UACGUAGGGAGCAAGCGUUGUCCGGAAUCAUUGGGCGUAAAGCGCGCGUAUGGUGGCCUCAUAAGUCCGCUGUGAAAGUCAAAAGGCUCAACCUUUGAAAGCCGGUGGAUACUGUCGGGGCUAGAGUACGGAAGAGGCGAGUGGAAUUCUGGUGUAGCGGUGGAAUGCGCAGAUAUCAGGAGGAACACCAAUAGCGAAGGCAGCUCGCUGGGACGUUAACUGACACUGAGGCGCGAAAGCGUGGGGAGCGAACAG